rnacentral:rRNA from 1 species
GAUGAACGCUAGCGGCAGGCUUAAUACAUGCAAGUCGAGGGGUAGCAAGAUUGUAGCAAUACAAUUGUUGACGACCGGCAAACGGGUGCGGAACACGUACACAACCUUCCUACAAGUGGGGAAUAGCCCAGAGAAAUUUGGAUUAAUACCCCGUAACAUAGCGAUGUGGCAUCACAUUGCUAUUAUAGCUUCGGCGCUUGUUGAUGGGUGUGCGGCUGAUUAGAUAGUUGGCGGGGUAACGGCCCACCAAGUCUACGAUCAGUAGCUGAUGUGAGCGCAUGAUCAGCCACACGGGCACUGGGACACGGGCCCGACUCCUACGGGAGGCAGCAGUAAGGAAUAUUGGACAAUGGACGCAAGUCUGAUCCAGCCAUGCCGCGUGAAGGAUUAAGGUCCUCUGGAUUGUAAACUUCUUUUAUAAGGGACGAAAAAAGGUCUUUCUAGAUCGUCUGACGGUACCUUAUGAAUAAGCACCGGCUAACUCCGUGCCAGCAGCCGCCGUAAUAC